rnacentral:rRNA from 1 species
AUGGCCUCCUCUGACCCUCGAGCACGUCUAGGCCAACGGCGAGCCCUAGAGGACAGGCAGAGGGGAGACGCACACGUCAUCGUCGAGCGACGCCGCGACGACCACCGUCGGGCUAAUGGGUGCGAGGGACCCGACGUUGACGAGCCUGCACUCGAGCCUGGCGAGUACCUGCCUUUCGAGGUUGGGUACCCUGCCUUUACUCGUGAGCUGCGGCAAGUCUGUUGGCUGUCCGUUCGUACGUUCAAGUCAGAGAUACCCGAGAAGUAUGAUGGAAGGCUAAACUCGAUAGAGUUUCUAAGCAUCUACACCAUCGCUGUUCAGGCUACCGGGGGAGGACAUGAGAAGGUGUUUGCCAACUACUUCCCUUUGGCACUCAAGUCCAAUGUGAGGUCUUGGCUGAUGCACCUGUCGGAGAACUCCAUUUCGUCAUGGGCUGUCAUGUGCCAUGAGUUCAUUGGCGCCUUCAUUGGUGGUCAUCAAGAACCAGGCCGGCCCAGUGAUUUGCAGCUUCUCCAACAAAAAGAAGGAGAGACUCUUCGGAAGUAUUUGCAGAGAUUCAGCAGAGUCCACAGGAACGUCCCAAAUAUCCAUCCAGCAGCUGUGAUAGCUGCCUUCCAAUCCAAUGUGCGUAACCGCAGGAUUCGUUCCAAGAUGAACGUGUGGUUGCCCAAGACUGUGAAGGAGCUUUACACUUUGGUGGACAAGUGUGCUCGGAUGGAGGAAGGAAGGAAACUCCCAGGAGAAGAGGAUUGCGUCAACAUCGACUCAGAAGACGAUGACGAAUCCACCAGUCAGAAGAGGAGCAAGAAGCGCAGCAAGAGACGCAAGGAUAAGGCAGUGAUGAUUGUUGAAGGAUCGGGCACACCUAGUACCGGCAAGAAGGCUAAAGCCGAAGCUCCCGGCAAGGAAGCUGCCGUGUGUGCUGACUGCCGGAGGCUGCGGCUGCCGAGAAAGCUGGGAAAGGCGACAGGCCGUACUGCAAAAUUCAUCAGACCAAGGGCCACGACCUGCAAGAGUGUUAUCAGGUUGAGUAGCUCGUCAAGACGCAGAGAGUAG